rnacentral:rRNA from 1 species
CCUGACAUAGUAAUGUCGCGUGGAGGUAAAAUUCCUAUGGGUCGUGAACUUCUUUUGCAGGAGAAGAAGCAAUCACAUUAUCUGGGGAAUAAACAUCGGCUAAACCUAUGCCAGUAGUUGCGGUAAUACAGAGGAUGCAAGCGUUAUCAGGAAUGAUUGGGCGUAAAGUGACUAUUGGUGGCUUUUUAAGUUCACCAUCAGAUCCCAUGGCUAAACCCUAGACAGGUGGUGGAAACUACCAAGUUGGAGUACGGAAGGGGCAUAGGGAAUUUUUGGUGGAGCAGUGAAAUACGUAGAGCUUUAAAAGAACACCAACUGCUAAAGCACUCUGCUAGGCCGACACUGACACUGAGAUACAAAAACUAGGGGAGCGAAUGGGAUUAAAUACCCCAAUAAUCCUAGCUAUAAAUGAUGGAUACUAGGUGUUGUGUGUAUUGACCCAUGCAAUUCUAUAGAUAAUGCAUUAAGUAUCUCGCCUGGGCAGUAUAUUUUCAAGAAUGAAACUCAAAGAAAUUGACGGAGGCCUGCACAAGUGGUGGAUCAUGUGGUUUAAUUCUAUGCAAAGCGAAGAACCUUACCUGGGCUUGGAAUACUGCGAAUCCUCUUGAAAGAGAAAGGUGCCUUUGGGAACACGGACACAGGUGAUGCAUGGCUAUUAUCAGAUUGUAUUGUAAGGUGUUGGGUUAAGUCUCGCAACGAGCGUAACCCUCGUUUUUAGUUACCAUUAUUGAGUUUAGAACCCUGAACAAACUGCUAGUGAUAAGUAAGGGGAAGGUGAGGAUAAUGUCAAGUCAUCAUUCCCCUUAUGCCCUGGGUAAUACACAUGCUAUAAUAGCUGGGACAAAGGGUCACGAUCCCACAAGGGUGAGCUAACCCAAAAAACCCAUCCUCAGUUUGGAUUGCAGGCUGCAACUUGCCUGCAUGAAGCCAAAAUCACUAGUAAUCGUUGGUC